rnacentral:lncRNA from 1 species
UAUUCCCUCUGAAAAGCUUUGGAUUAUAUUAUCCUCUUAAAUCUAGGCUGCUAGUUUUCUCUGGCACAUAAUCACUGCCUCUAGCCCUCUCUCUUAAAGACAGUGUCUUUAUCAGGCUAGGCACAGUGGUUCAUGCCUGUAAUCCCAGCACUUUGGGAGACCGAGACAGGUGGAUCACCUGAGGUCAGGAGUUUGAGACCAGCCUGACCAGUAUGAUGAAACCCCAUCUCUACUAAAAAUACAAAAAUUAGCCAGACAUGGUGGCGUGUGCCUGUAGUCCCAGCUACUCAGGAGGCUGAGACAGGAGAAUUGCUUGAACCUGGGAGGUGGAAGUUGCAGUAAACCAAGAUCACGCCACUGCACUCCAGACUGGGCGACAGAGCAAGACUCCAUCUCAAUUAAAAAAAAAAGCAUCAUUAUCAUUUGGUGACAUCAAACUUUACCAUCAGAAUCACCCAGAUGACUUGUUAAAACACAAUUUUUUAGGUUCUACCCUCAGAGUUGCUCAUUCAGUAGGUCUGGAGUGGGGCCCAAGAAUUUGCAUUUCUAGUAAGUACCCAGGUGAUAAUGCUGCUGAUCUGGGACCACCCUUGGAGAACCACUGACUUAAACCAUUUGUAACACAGUUAGAAGGCCAAAAACAAAAAACAAAGCAAAGCAAAACAAAACAAAACAAAAAGCAGGAAAUAGUCUGUUAAGGACUCUUCAUUUCCUCCUGCUGAUGAUCAGGGUAUAUCCAUAGAUAAUCAUCACAUUGGCCUGGUGCGGUGGCUCACACGUGUAAUCCCA